CUUGAAUGCUGCUUCCGCUGACAAAACGAAAUGUAUAUAUCCUAUGGUGUAUCUUGAUCAAAGGUGCAAGUACGUAUCAGUCCGAUGCACCCUCUCGAUCUCCUUUUAUCUUACCGGAGUCGAAUACUGUGAGUAGAUUCACAAAGCACACAGUUUCCUGAAGAAUUUUGUGGCGAAAAAAUUAGCUAGGGUCUCUUGGUCGUGAUCUGUUGAGGACGGCCGUGUUCUCAUGCCGUGCAGGUAGAGGUAGCUGCCGAUUCUCCUACGGUCCUUUAGGGCUUGUUCUGAAUUGUUUUACCUGUCAACAGGUCUCGAUCAGAUUGUCCUUGGUGUAUCAACCAUGCCACCAUGCCUGCUAGCAUCAACUAUCAGAAUUAAUUAUUGGCAAGGAUCCCAAGCUCUCUAGCAAUAAUAAUUAAUAAAAGUGGUGACUGGUGAGCACAUAUGUUGUGCAUAAAAAUUUUAUAAAUAAGCUGACUGGUGAGUAAAGACACUUCUCGUUGCCGUGCUUCAUUUGCACACUGAAACAUGACGGCCACGCCAAGUUUCCUAAAGUUCCUCAAGGGCUGGUGAGAGCAAUUAUUGGUUAGGUAAGAGAAGCAAUUAUUGCAAGAGCUUCGGGAUCUGAUUUGCAAGAUUAAUAACAGGUACACACAAGUACACAAAUAAGCAUAGAAACUUUAACAGACCUGAGCCUGGGAGUGCUUCUCAUCAGAAGUAUGGGAUCGGCGAACGGCAGCUCUUCUCAACAAAGCAGCAGCUUACCAUAGCAGGUAUGCAUAAGUUAUUUUCGUUAAUUAAUCUGCAUGUAUCAGCCUCCAUAGUUUGCUGACUGGUGAGUAGUACUUCCUCUGUAAACUAAUAUAAGAGCGUUUAGAUCACUAGUUGAGUGAUCUAAACGCUCUUAUAUUAGUUUACAGAGGGAGUACUAAAGAGCAAGGACACUUCUCGUUGCCGUGCUUCAUCUGCACACUGAAACAUGACGGCCACGCCAUGUUUCCCGAAGUUUCUCAAGGGCUGGUGAGAGCAAUUAUUGGUUUGGUACACAGAUACACAUCUUGUGAACAUAGAAACUUUAACAGACCUGAGCCUGGGAGUGCUUCUCAUCAGAAGUAUGGGACCGGCGAACGGCAGCUCUUCUCAACAAAGCAGCGGCUUACCAUAGCAGGCUGGGCCACAGAAAUUAUCUGAAGACACACAGGCUACCUGCUGUGCAACAUAUCUGUCUCAGCUCUGACUCGAGGAGCAAUGGCCGAGGUUGUGAUUCUCUCGGCAGUGGCAAAGAUCGGUGUAGCUCUGGGGAAUGAAGCAAUGAACCAGGCUACUUUACAGUUCAAUAACUUUAUAACACAGCUAACAGAGCUUCAAGGAAGCAUGGGUCGCAUCAGAAGGGAGCUCAGAUUGAUGCAUGAAUAUCUUUGCCGAAUGGACAUACGGAAUCGCAACAAUCAGACAUAUGAAAUCUGGGUGGAGGAGGUGAGAAUGUUUGUUCAUGGGAUUGAGGAUAUUGUGGAUGAGUAUUUGCAUCUUGUUGGUCAGAAACAUGACAGUGGAUGGAGUGCCUGUCUGAAGAAAGGAUUUAAACAACCAAAUGUUUUCUUCUCUUUAAACAGGAUAGCUUCUUUGGUUAAGGAAGCGGAGGUCAAUCUUGUGCACCUGUUCCAGGCUAAAGAUCGAUGGGUGUCAAUGGUAGAUAGUGGGUAUAUGAAUGACUCAAGUUACAUUGUUGAGAGGUCUCAGCAUCUAGCAAGCACUUCACGUUCCCUUGCCGAAGAAGAUCUCGUGGAGGUUGAUGGAAACAGAAAAAAGCUUGAGCAGUGGUUGGCAGGUGAUGAGUUGGAACGCUCUGUGAUAGUGCUGCAUGGUAUGGGAGGGCUUGGUAAAACAACUUUGGCUGCAAAUGUCUACAGGAAGGAAAGUGAAAAUUUUGAUUGCCACUGUUGGGUCUCUGUCUCUCAAACUUAUUCCAGAGAAGAUGUUUUGAAAAAAUUAAUCAAGGAGCUUUUCAAAGAUAAAGCCAUUGUUCCAUCUAAUAUUGAGACCAUGGACAUCAUAAGCCUUGAAGAGGCACUGAAGAAUUUUUUAGAGCAGCGCAAGUAUUUGAUCAUGCUGGAUGAUGUUUGGACUCCUGAAGCAUUCCAUGAUCUUUCUGGGGUGGUUAUUCGUAACAAGAAGGGCAGCAGAGUUGUAAUCACAACCAGGGAAGGCAAUGUUGCUGGACUUGCUUCUCAAGGACAGGUCUUAACACUAAAACCUCUAUCAAAGGAUGGAUCAUGGGAACUCUUCUGUAAGACAGUUUUUCCCAUAGAUACAAAAUGUGAGUGUCCCACAGAACUGACAGAAUUAGCACAUGAAGUGGUUGACAAGUGUAAAGGCAUACCCCUUGCAAUUGUCUCUAUUGGCAAGCUCCUCUUUGUACGUGACAAGACCAAAGAGGAACUGAAGCGAAUACAUGACCAGCUCGACUGGGAGCUAAUUAACAAUCCAAGCUUGGAACAUGUCAGGAAUAUCCUUUAUUUGAGUUACUUGUACCUUCCGACAUACUUGAAAAGUUGUUUUCUAUACUGCAGCUUGUUCCCAGAGGACUAUCUUUUCAAAAGGAAAAAGCUGAUACGGUUGUGGGUAGCAGAGGGCUUCGUCAUGGGAAGGGGUGAAAGCACAAUGGAGGAAGUGGCUGAAGGUUAUCUAGAAGAGUUGGUUCACAGAAAUAUGCUUCAAGUUGAUACAAGAAACCCAUUUGGUAGGAUAAAAUCAUUCCGGAUGCAUGAUAUUGUACGUGAGUUGGCAGUAGAUUUGUGUCGCCGGGAAUGCUUUGGUGUUGUUUAUGAGGAGGAUAAAUACAUGGAAUCUCUUGAUGAGUCGGAUGCACGUCGACUGGUAAUACACAAAAUGAGCAAGGAUAUUUAUCAGUCAGUAUCAGGUGUACACCGUCUCCGCUCUGUUAUCGCAUUGGACAUCAAUAUUCCAUCAUCCACUCUACUGCCUCUAAUAGCAAAGAGGUCCAGAUAUAUUUCGGUGCUGGAGUUAAGUGGCCUACCCAUUGAGAAGGUUCCAGAUGGUAUUGGAGAUCUUUUCAAUCUCCGCUAUUUGGGUCUGCGUGGUUCAAAAGUGAAGCUCCUUCCCAGGUCUAUCGAGAAACUUUCAAGUUUGUUGACACUGGACCUUUCAGGGUCUGGCAUGAAGGAGCUGCCUAGAGGCAUUGGUGAACUAAAAAAGCUUAGGCAGUUAUUCACUGACAAAGCUAGUGAUCGAUUUAGGAGAGAUUUCCGGUGCGGCGGUGGUGUAUGCAUCCCCAAGGGCCUUGAGAACCUGACAAGUCUGCAGACACUAGUAUCCUUGGAAGCGCAGGAUGAGUCGGUUAGACAGUUGGGGGAGCUGAGGCAACUGAGAAGCUUGGAGAUAUGGAAUGUGAAAGGAACCUACUGUGGACAUAUAUGUGCUGCUCUAGCCGAGAUGCGACAUCUUUCCUACCUACAUGUGAAUGCAAGCCAAGACAAUGAGGUUCUCCGGUUGAGUGGUCUACCCCCAAAUCUGCAAAGGCUUAGCUUGACUGGUCGAUUAGCGGAAGGCACAUUGGGAGAGUCCCCUCUCUUCCUAACUUCGGGGCGGAACCUGUAUUCACUGUCUCUAUCUUGGUCUCAGAUGAUAGAGGACCCCUUACCAUCCCUUUCUCGAUUGUCAAAUUUGAUGGACCUGAUGCUCACCAGAGCGUGCAGCGGAAAGCAGAUGACAUUUCUUGCCGGGUGGUUCCCCAAGCUAAAAACCCUGAGAUUGAGAGACCUGCCAAAUUUGGAGGUUCUAGAGAUGAAGGAAGGUGCCGUGGUGAGCCUCGAAAUAUUAACACUAGUCAACCUUGAAGGCAUGGUGGAGGUCCCACCUGGCAUAGAGUUCCUCGCGCAUGUAAAGUAUAUUUCGUUCCGGGAAAUCACCAGCGAGUUUUUGACUUCGCUGCGACAAUGUCCUAGAACUCAAGGGGUGCACUGGCGGCAUACUCUCAGGUGACAUUGACCCUGCUGGCCUCGAAAUGAGUAUGUAAGCCACUCAACUGCAGACUACUGUUCCACUACCAGUUUCCUCGUGUAACUUCACCUUCAUGUUUUUAUUGGUUUGCUUGUCGGAAGAAAGGAUACCCUACAAAUACUCCACUUUCCCUACUUGUAGUCACUACUACUGUUUUUGUGAUUGUGGAUCAUGGUAUUGUCUAUUUAUUCUGGUUUUGUCUGUGAGUUACAGUAUAUAUGUGCUCAUCCUGUUACCAAAGGAAGCUUGAGCAGUUGAGCUUGCUUCCUUUAACACUCUUUAUUUGUUUAUAGCUUACCUUGUUGCUAGUUAUUUUUAUUGAUGCUGUACAUUACUGAAGUUGGCUUGACAAAAUUCACAGCAAGUUUGUAGUAUUAUGAAAACAA
rnacentral:rRNA from 1 species